UCAAGAAAGAACACACUCCAGUGGGCAUCCUUUAUCCAUCCAGACCCUCAUACAGAUGGUUGGAGUUUUGAUUCACCUAAAGUACCAUGCAAGAGCACUCAUUUUCCCUCUUGAGACCAUGGUGUGACCUGCAAGAUCGAAUGGAGACUGUAGACGAGACAAUCUUGGAGUCACCUGCUUUCCCUGGUCCAGUUGUUAGUCCAAUUACAGAUGGAGAUUAUAGAAGAGGAUGAUGUCUUUUCUCCAACAUCUUUCUAGACUGAUAAAAGAUCUAGACAGGCUUGAACAAAAGUUAACAGAGGGGCUUAUAUAGAGAAUGGUGAGCAGCUACACAUAAAAGAAGAACAUGGAGAAUCUGCCCAGAGGUGUUAACCAGCAAUGCAGCUAUACAACUAAAUUGAUGCAGGCGGAAACAAUAAUGCAGCUGCUGCAGAUGAAGAAUCCGUCCGUCUACCACUGAAGGAGACGCGGAAAAUUCCAUCCAAGAUGUUCUUUGCCAGAGGAAGCAUUUGAUUAAUUUAAAGAUAUUGUGUUUCUUUGUAU